CAGCUUACCUGGCAGGGGAGAUACCAUGAUCACGAAGGUGGUUUUCCCAGGGCGAGGCUUAUCCAUUGCACUCCGGAUGUGCUGACCCCUGCGAUUUCCCCAAAUGUGGGAAACUCGACUGCAUAAUUUGUGGUAGUGGGGGACUGCGUUCGCGCUCUCCCCUG
rnacentral:snRNA from 1 species